rnacentral:rRNA from 1 species
CGUCAAGUCAUCAUGGCCCUUACGACCAGGGCUACACACGUACUACAAUGGUAGGGACAGAGGGCUGCAAACCCGCGAGGGCAAGCCAAUCCCAGAAACCCUAUCUCAGUCCGGAUUGGAGUCUGCAACUCGACUCCAUGAAGUCGGAAUCGCUAGUAAUCGCAGAUCAGCAUUGCUGCGGUGAAUACGUUCCCGGGCCUUGUACACACCGCCCGUCACACCAUGGGAGUUUGUUGCACCAGAAGCAGGUAGCUUAACCUUCGGGAGGGCGCUUGCCACGGUGUGGCCGAUGACUGGGGUGAAGUCGUAACAAGGUAGCCGUAUCGGAAGGUGCGGCUGGAUCACCUCCUUU